ACCUGGCUGGCUCAGUUGGUGGAGCGUGCGACUCUGGAUCUCAAGGUGGUGAGUUCAAGUCCCACGUUGGGUG
rfam:Felis catus isolate Cinnamon breed Abyssinian chromosome D1, whole genome shotgun sequence.